GGGGCAUUGGCGCAGCUGGUAGCGCGUCUGUAUGGCAUACAGAAGGUCAUCGGUUCGAGUCCGAUAUGCUCCAC
rnacentral:tRNA from 1 species